rnacentral:rRNA from 1 species
CCUACGGGGAGCAGCAGUGAGGAAUAUUGGUCAAUGGGCGGGAGCCUGAACCAGCCAAGUCGCGUGAGGGACGACGGUCCUAUGGAUUGUACACCUCUUUUGUCGGGGAACAAAGGCGUCCACGGGUGGGCGGAUGAGGGUACCCGAAGAAAAAGCAUCGGCUAACUCCGUGCCACCAGCCGUGGUAAUACGGGGGAUGCGAGCGGUAUCCGGAUUUAUUGGGGUUAACAGGUGCGUAGGCGGACAGUCAAGUCAGCGGUAAAACUGCGGUGCUCAACGCCGUACAGCCGUUGAAACUGGCAGUCUUGAGUGGGCGAGAAGUAUGCGGAAUGCGUGGUGUAGCGGUGAAAUGCAUAGAUAUCACGCAGAACUCCGAUUGCGAAGGCAGCAUACCGGCGCCCUACUGACGCUGAGGCACGAAAGCGUGGGUAUCGAACAGGAUUAGAUACCCUGGUAGUC